rnacentral:rRNA from 1 species
GGGCAGCAUUUUUCUAGCAAUAGAAGAGAUGGCGACCGGCGCACGGGUGAGUAACACGUAUCCAACCUGCCGAUAACUCCGGGAUAGCCUUUCGAAAGAAAGAUUAAUACCGGAUAGUAUACGAAUAUCGCAUGAUAUUUUUAUUAAAGAAUUUCGGUUAUCGAUGGGGAUGCGUUCCAUUAGUUUGUUGGCGGGGUAACGGCCCACCAAGACUACGAUGGAUAGGGGUUCUGAGAGGAAGGUCCCCCACAUUGGAACUGAGACACGGUCCAAACUCCUACGGGAGGCAGCAGUGAGGAAUAUUGGUCAAUGGGCGAGAGCCUGAACCAGCCAAGUAGCGUGAAGGAUGAAGGCUCUAUGGGUCGUAAACUUCUUUUAUAUGGGAAUAAAGUUUUCCACGUGUGGAAUUUUGUAUGUACCAUAUGAAUAAGGAUCGGCUAACUCCGUGCCAGCAGCCGCGGUAAUACGGAGGAUCCGAGCGUUAUCCGGAUUUAUUGGGUUUAAAGGGAGCGUAGGUGGAUUGUUAAGUCAGUUGUGAAAGUUUGCGGCUCAACCGUAAAAUUGCAGUUGAAACUGGCAGUCUUGAGUACAGUAGAGGUGGGCGGAAUCGUGGGUAGCG